rnacentral:rRNA from 1 species
CACGCCGUAAACGAUGGGUACUAGGUGUCGGGUGUCAAAGCUCGGUGCCGCAGUUAACACAAUAAGUACCCCGCCUGGGGAGUACGUACGCAAGUAUGAAACUCAAAGGAAUUGACGGGGACCCGCACAAGCGGUGGAGCAUGUGGUUUAAUUCGACGCUACGCGAAGAACCUUACCAAGGCUUGACAUCCUUUGAUCGUCUAAGAGAUUAGAUUUUCCCUUCGGGGACAAAGUGACAGGUGG